AAAGUAUCUUGUUUGACAAUUGAAGAUACUUUCUCGUAUUGUUCUUUCUUCUCUGCUCAUUGUUAUUGUUUUUAU
rnacentral:sRNA from 1 species